GUGGGGAAUAUUGCACAAUGGGCGGAAGCCUGAUGCAGCAACGCCGCGUGAGCGAUGAAGGCCUUAGGGUUGUAAAGCUCUUUCAGCUGGGAAGAUAAUGACGGUACCAGCAGAAGAAGCCCCGGCUAACUCCGUGCCAGCAGCCGCGGUAAUACGGAGGGGGCUAGCGUUGUUCGGAAUUACUGGGCGUAAAGCGCACGUAGGCGGAUCAGAAAGUCAGAGGUGAAAUCCCAGGGCUCAACCUUGGAACUGCCUUUGAAACUCCUGGUCUUGAGGUCGAGAGAGGUGAGUGGAAUUCCGAGUGUAGAGGUGAAAUUCGUAGAUAUUCGGAGGAACACCAGUGGCGAAGGCGGCUCACUGGCUCGAUACUGACGCUGAGGUGCGAAAGCGUGGGGAGCAAACAGGAUUAGAAACCCUUGUAGUCC
rnacentral:rRNA from 1 species